rnacentral:rRNA from 1 species
ACAUGCAGUCGAGCGGUAGAGAGANGCUUGCUUCUCUUGAGAGCGGCGGACGGGUGAGUAAUGCCUAGGAAUCUGCCUAGUGGUGGGGGAUAACGUUCGGAAACGGACGCUAAUACCGCAUACGUCCUACGGGAGAAAGCGGGGGACCUUCGGGCCUCGCGCCAUUAGAUGAGCCUAGGUCGGAUUAGCUAGUUGGUGAGGUAAUGGCUCACCAAGGCGACGAUCCGUAACUGGUCUGAGAGGAUGAUCAGUCACACUGGAACUGAGACACGGUCCAGACUCCUACGGGAGGCAGCAGUGGGGAAUAUUGGACAAUGGGCGAAAGCCUGAUCCAGCCAUGCCGCGUGUGUGAAGAAGGUCUUCGGAUUGUAAAGCACUUUAAGUUGGGAGGAAGGGUAGUAACUUAAUACGUUGCUACUUUGACGUUACCGACAGAAUAAGCACCGGCUAACUUCGUGCCAGCAGCCGCGGUAAUACGAAGGGUGCAAGCGUUAAUCGGAAUUACUGGGCGUAAAGCGCGCGUAGGUGGUUCAGUAAGUUGGAAGUGAAAUCCCCGGGCUCAACCUGGGAACUGCUUUCAAAACUGCUGAGCUAGAGUACGGUAGAGGGUGGUGGAAUUUCCUGUGUAGCGGUGAAAUGCGUAGAUAUAGGAAGGAACACCAGUGGCGAAGGCGACCACCUGGACUGAUACUGACACUGAGGUGCGAAAGCGUGGGGAGCAAAC